rnacentral:rRNA from 1 species
GAUCCUGGCUCAGGAUGAACGCUAGNGGCAGGCUUAACACAUGCAAGUCGAGGGGCAGCAUAAUGGAUAGCAAUAUCUAUGGUGGCGACCGGCGCACGGGUGCGUAACGCGUAUGCAACCUACCUUUAACAGGGGGAUAACACUGAGAAAUUGGUACUAAUACCCCAUAAUAUCAUAGAAGGCAUCUUUUAUGGUUGAAAAUUCCGAUGGUUAGAGAUGGGCAUGCGUUGUAUUAG